AAGGGCGAGUCUAGCCCCUUCAGCAUCCCUAAAAAGGAGCUCAGCACCCGUAAAACUUGGAAUGCAUUUUCCUGAUGAAAUGGGAGGACUCUGACACUUGCAAGAACAAAGAACUUUCAGUUGUGCCAACAUGGCAGCCUCAACCUCAAC